rnacentral:rRNA from 1 species
GAUGAACGCUAGCGAUAGGCUUAACACAUGCAAGUCGAGGGGCAGCGAGGGUAGCAAUACCUGUCGGCGACCGGCGCACGGGUGAGUAACGCGUAUGUAACCUGCCCGCAACAGGGGGAUAACCCGGCGAAAGUCGGACUAAUACCGCAUAAAACAGGGGUCCCGCAUGGGAAUAUUUGUUAAAGAUUUAUCGGUUGCGGAUGGGCAUGCGUACCAUUAGGUAGUUGGUGAGGUAACGGCUCACCAAGCCUUCGAUGGUUAGGGGUUCUGAGAGGAAGGUCCCCCACACUGGUACUGAGACACGGACCAGACUCCUACGGGAGGCAGCAGUGAGGAAUAUUGGUCAAUGGGCGAGAGCCUGAACCAGCCAAGUCGCGUGAAGGAUGACUGCCUAUGGGUUGUAAACUUCUUUUACAAGGGAAUAAAAUGAGAUACGUGUAUUUUAUUGCAUGUACCUUGGGAAUAAGCAUCGGCUAACUCCGUG